GUGGGGAAUCUUGCGCAAUGGGCGAAAGCCUGACGCAGCCAUGCCGCGUGAAUGAUGAAGGUCUUAGGAUUGUAAAAUUCUUUCACCGGGGACGAUAAUGACGGUACCCGGAUAAGAAGCUCCGGCUAACUUCGUGCCAGCAGCCGCGGUAAUACGAAGGGGGCUAGCGUUGCUCGGAAUUACUGGGCGUAAAGGGCGCGUAGGCGGACAGCUUAGUCAGAGGUGAAAGCCCAGGGCUCAACCUUGGAAUUGCCUUUGAUACUGGCUGUCUUGAGUUUGGGAGAGGUGAGUGGAACUCCGAGUGUAGAGGUGAAAUUCGUAGAUAUUCGGAAGAACACCAGUGGCGAAGGCGACUCACUGGCCCAAUACUGACGCUGAGGCGCGAAAGCGUGGGGAGCAAACAGGAUUAGAUACCCCGGUAGUCC
rnacentral:rRNA from 1 species